AGUGAACGCUGGCGGUAGGCCUAACACGUGCAAGUCGAACGGCAGCACAGUAAGAGCUUGCUCUUACGGGUGGCGAGUGGCGGACGGGUGAGGAAUACAUCGGAAUCUACUUUUUCGUGGGGGAUAACGUAGGGAAACUUACGCUAAUACCGCAUACGACCUACGGGUGAAAGCAGGGGAUCUUCGGACCUUGCGCGAUUGAAUGAGCCGAUGUCGGAUUAGCUAGUUGGCGGGGUAAAGGCCCACCAAGGCGACGAUCCGUAGCUGGUCUGAGAGGAUGAUCAGCCACACUGGAACUGAGACACGGUCCAGACUCCUACGGGAGGCAGCAGUGGGGAAUAUUGGACAAUGGGCGCAAGCCUGAUCCAGCCAUACCGCGUGGGUGAAGAAGGCCUUCGGGCUGUAAAGCCCUUUUGUUGGGAAAGAAAAGCAGCAGGUUAAUACCCCGCUGUUCUGACGGUACCCAAAGAAUAAGCACCGGCUAACUUCGUG
rnacentral:rRNA from 1 species